UUUUUUUUUUGAGAUGGAGUCUCACUCUGUCACCCAGGCUGGAGUGCAGUGGUGCGAUCUCGGCUCACUGCAAGCUCCGCCUCCCGAGUUCACGCCAUUCUCCUGCCUCAGCCUCUCCAAGCAGCUGGGACUACAGGCGCCCGCCACCAUGCCCGGCUAAUUUUUUGUAUUUUUAGUAGAGAUGGGGUUUCACCGUGGUCUCUAUCUCCUGACCCCAUUAUCCGCCCUCCUCGGCCUCCCAAAGUGCUGGGAUUACAAGCGUAAGCCACCGCUCCUGGCCAAGAGUUCUAGUUUCUAUGACCUGCUGUGGGGAAAAAGAACUGUGGUUUCUGAGACUCACUUUGCAGAGAAAAGUGGGCAGGAACCAGGAGGGAAGGACAAAGACCUGGCUUCUGAGGCCUUCCAGUCUCCUCUGGGUCAGAGUAGUCUGCAUGCCAAGGUGCCAUACUUUGGGAUUUAAUGAGCCCUGACAGCAGGUCCUUGCAGAUUUCACAGGCAACUUGUGAUCCCAGUAAUUGGGUUUCAGUCCCCCAAUUUCAGAGGACUUUAGCACAGCCUGGUUGAAAUGGCCAAGUGUCGGCCGGGCAUGGUGGCUCACGCCUGUAAUCCCAGCACUUUGGGAGGCCGAGGCGGGCGGAUCAUGAGUUCAGGAGAUUGAGACCUGGCUAACAUGGUGAAACCCCGUCUCCACUAAAAAUACAAAAAAUUAGCUGGGCGUGGUGGCGGGCGCCUGUAGUCCUGGGAGGGCGCCUGUAGCUACUCGGGAGGCUGAGGCAGGAGAAUGGCGUGAACCCGGGAGGCAGAGCUUGCAGUGAACCGAGAUCACGCCAUUGCACUCCAGCCUGGGAGACAGAGCGAGACUCCAUCUCGAAAAAAAAAAAGAAAGAAAGAAAUACCCACCAUGACUGUUGCUGUGAGGCAUGAAAAUACAGGGGGGUGGGAGCCUGAGGUGCCUGUGGCCACCCGGCUGGAGGUGGGUGGGCUGCGCUUCUCAGCUUGCCUGGAGGAACGUUCCUUUAGUUGGGAGGGAGUGCCUUUCCUCAAGCAAUCCUUGGGCUGGACAUGCUGGUCCUGAAUGAGUCCUAAGAGUACAGGUUUCCCAAGACCCGAAGACAGCAAGCCUGUGUUCCCAGCCAGCGCUGGUGGCAGCUGGGUUCCGGGCAGGUGGAGCCGACGUGAUCUGGAGCUGGCAGCCACACUCUGGCACCUCCUCAGGUGGUUUUCAAGGAGAUGGGGGUCUUGCUCUGUUACAGCCCAGGCUGGAGUGCAGAGGCAUAAUCACGGCUCACAGGCCCAGACGGUGCAGCGGCCAGGCAGAGGUACUCCUCACUUCCCAGAUGGUGGGGUGGCCUUGACCUCUCAGGUUUGAGUGAACCUCCCAUUUCAGCCUCCCGAGUAGCUGGGACCACAGGCAUGGUGCCACCACAGCUGGCCUGAAUUUUCUGUAACGAUUUGGAGUUCCCAUCAAACUAAACGCUAAUCAAAGGAUAGCAUUAUACGACUUCUCCUUGGGAGCUGCCUGCACCUCUGGCUGCCGGAUGGCCUGGUUCUUGCUGAGGAAUAGCACGUGCUGGGCCUCUUGCUGCAUGCGCUGGAUAUAGGCCCCGUCGGACUCCCCCUUCCUCUGUUUGAACUUGGGGAUGGCGAUGUCAGGCUCCGCUCCGUUUGCUUCCUUCUCCAAUGUCUUUCUGAAGGUCACCUGGGCUGAGGACAAAGGGAGGCCUCAGAGGAGGCAGGAGGCCGACAGUGCCAGGCAGGUGGCCCAUGCUCAUUCCCCCACCCAAAGCCACAGGAAGGGAAGACCAGGCUGGCUGGAAGCACCCCAACGAUAGUAGCUGAAGAGGAUGUAGAAUGCCCGGCCUGGCAUCCCCAGGGACGAGACCCCCCAGCCCAAUGGCACUUGUCACAGAUGUCCACUGCAGCACAGCUGAAAAAGGAAAGCAGAAACAACCUAAUGUCCACCCCUAGGUGGCUGGUUGAAUGAAUUCUCCUCUGAUCACCCACAGACUCCAUUGCACAGCUGCCCAAGGAAGCCCAGUGGAGCUACACAGAGAAAUGUGGGCAGACCUGCCGGGCGCAGUGGCUUACACCUGUAAUCCCAGCACUUUGGGAGGCCGAGAUGGGCGGAUCGUGAGGUCAGGAGAUCGAGACCAUCCUGGCUAACACGGUGAAACCCUGUCUCUACUAAAAAUGCAAAAAAAAUUUGCUGGGCACGGUGGCGGGCGCCUGUAGUACCAGCUACACGGGAGGCUGAGGCAGGAGAAUGGCGUGAACCCGGGAGGCGGAGCUUGCAGUAAGCCGAGAUCGUGCCAUUGCACUCUAGCCUGGGCGACUGAGCAAGACUCUGUCUCAAAAAAAACAAAACAAAACAAACAAAAAAAAAAACGUGGGCAGACCUACGACAUCCACUGUGAACACAAGUGCAGGACCCCGGGCAAGUGUGGAACACAGGAGGUUGACAGUGCCAGGCAGGUGGUUGUGUUCAUAAAUAUGUGAAGACAUGCAUAUUGCCAGGCAUGGUGGUUCACACCUGUAAUCCCAGCACUUUGGGAGGCUGAGGUGGGCGGAUCACUUGAGGCCAGAGUUCGAAACCAGACUGGCCAACAUGGCAAAACCCAUCCUUUACUAAAAAUAUAAAAACUAGCCGGGUGUGGUGGCACAGGCCUGUAAUCCCAGCUACUGGGGGGGCUGAGGCACAAGACUUGCUUGAACCUGGAAGGUGGAGGUUGCAGUGAGCCGAUAUUCUGUCUCCAAAGAAAAAAGGCCAGGCAUAGUGGCUCACACCUGUAAUCCCAGCACUUUGGGAGGCUGAAGUGGGGAAAUCACUUGAGGUCAGGAGUUCAAAACCAGCCUUGCCAACAUGGUGAAACCUCGUCUCUACUAAAAACCCAAAAAUUAGCUGGGCUUGGUGGCGUGUGCCUGUAAUCUCACCUACUCGGGAGGCUGAGGCAGGAGAAUUGCUUGAACUGGGACAGGGGAGGCAGAGGUAGCAGUGAGCUGAGAUUGCGCCACUGCACUCCAGCCUGCGCUACAGAGUAAGACUCUGUCUCAAAAACAAACAAACAAACAAACAAAAAAAACGCAAAAAAAAUUAGCCGGGUGUGGUGGUGUGUUACCUGUAAUCCCAGCUACUCAGGCAGCUGAGGCAGGAGAACUGCUUAAAUCCAGGAGGUAGAGUUUGCAGUGAGCCCAGAUCACGCCACUGCACUCCAGCCUGGGCAAGAAAGCAAGACUCCGUCUCAAUAAAUAAAUAAAUAAACAAACAAAGGUGCCAAUA